rnacentral:rRNA from 1 species
CAGUCCCGCGGUAAUACGGAGGGGGCUAGCGUUGUUCGGAAUUACUGGGCGUAAAGCGCACGUAGGCGGCUUUGUAAGUUAGAGGUGAAAGCCUGGAGCUCAACUCCAGAAUUGCCUUUAAGACUGCAUCGCUUGAAUCCGAGAGAGGUGAGUGGAAUUCCGAGUGUAGAGGUGAAAUUCGUAGAUAUUCGGAAGAACACCAGUGGCGAAGGCGGCUCACUGGCUCGGUAUUGACGCUGAGGUGCGAAAGCGUGGGGAGCAAACAGGAUUAGAUACCCCCGUAGUCCCUGUCUCUUAUACA